rnacentral:rRNA from 1 species
UACGGCGGGUGCGAGCGUUGUCCGGAAUCAUUGGGCGUACAGGGCGCGUAGGUGGCUUCUUAAGCGUGCGGUGAAAGCCUGGGGCUCAACCCCGGGUCGGCCGUGCGAACUGGGGGGCUGGAGCACUGUAGAGGCAGGCGGAAUUCCGGGUGUAGCGGUGGAAUGCGUAGAGAUCCGGAAGAACACCGGUGGCGAAGGCGGCCUGCUGGGCAGUUGCUGACACUGAGGCGCGACAGCGUGGGGAGCAAACAGG